GGCGAACGCUGGCGGCGGGCUUAACACAUGCAAGUCGAACGGAAAGGCCCUGCUUUUUUGGGGUUCUCGAGUGGCGAACGGGUGAGUAACACGUGAGUAACCUGCCCUUUGCUUUGGGAUAACUUCAGGAAACUUGGGCUAAUACCGGAUAGGAGCUCCUGCUGCACGGUGGGGGUUGGAAAGUUUCGGCGGGUGGGGAUGGACUCGCGGCUUAUCAGCUUGUUGGUGGGGUAGUGGCUUACCAAGGCUUUGACGGGUAGCCGGCCUGAGGGGGUGACCGGCCACAUUGGGACUGAGAGACGGCACAGACGCCUACGGGAGGCAGCAGUGGGGAAUAUUGCACAAUGGGCGGAAGCCUGAUGCAGCAACGCCGCGUGCGGGAUGACGGCCUUCGGGUUGUAAACCGCUUUCGCCUGUGACGAAGCGUGAGUGACGGUAAUGGGUAAAGAAGCACCGGCUAACUACGUG
rnacentral:rRNA from 1 species